rnacentral:tRNA from 1 species
CCUUGAAUGGCUAGAAAAUGCCCUCUAAAGGCGGAAACACGAGUUCGAUUCUCGUAGGGAGCGCCA